CCAUUCUGCCUACGUGACUAGUAUCACAUACCUGGGUGAGGGGCUUCCUCCCUGGUGGGCUAGAGUCUGCCCGGCAACUAGUGAUAUAUUUCAAAUUGGUUGGCUGACUACCAACAGGUGCUGGCCUCCAUUGGACCAGGUACAUGAGGUCACAAGGGCUAUAUAAGUUAAGGACUGCCCAGGCAGAGAAAGGCAGCAGCCAUGAGGGAUACUCAGGAAAAAAGAAGAGCUGUACCAUCUGAAACUUGCUCUAUCUCUCAAAACUCAUGAUCAAGGAACUGCUUUCCUCCAGAGGGAUUCUCCUACAGCCUCUGGAUGAUACUUCACUGUUCAUUGUUUGCUGUGUGAACUGCCUGCAUGAAUUUCUAAGGGAAGAUCAAGUCUUGGGAUGGGGGCAGCGCAACCCAGGAAGCUUUCCCAGAACGGCCAGCUGAGGGAAGUAACUCCUGCGUAACAGCUCUAGACAGACUGUGAAGCGGUGAAGUCACGUUAACGUGCUCAGCCUUUGGUAACUGUCUGCUUAUAUUUUGGUAGUCCCAGUAAAGUUGACAGUUUGUAUUCUGGCAA